AUUGAACGCUGGCGGCAGGCCUAACACAUGCAAGUCGAGCGGAUGAAGGGAGCUUGCUCCUGGAUUCAGCGGCGGACGGGUGAGUAAUGCCUAGGAAUCUGCCUGGCAGUGGGGGAUAACGUCCGGAAACGGGCGCUAAUACCGCAUACGUCCUGAGGGAGAAAGUGGGGGAGCUUCGGACCUCACGCUAUCAGAUGAGCCUAGGUCGGAUUAGCUAGUUGGUGGGGUAAAGGCCUACCAAGGCGACGAUCCGUAACUGGUCUGAGAGGAUGAUCAGUCACACUGGAGCUGAGACACGGUCCAGACUCCUACGGGAGGCAGCAGUGGGGAAUAUUGGACAAUGGGCGAAAGCCUGAUCCAGCCAUGCCGCGUGUGUGAAGAAGGUCUUCGGAUUGUAAAGCCCUUUUAGUUGGGAGGAAGGGCAGUAAGUUAAUACCUUGCUGUUUUGACGUUACCAACAGAAUAAGCACCGGCUAACUUCGUG
rnacentral:rRNA from 1 species